GCCGGGCGCGGAGGAGCAUGGCUGUAGUCCCAGCUACUCGGGAGGCUGAAGUGGGAGGAUCGCUUGAGCCCAGAAGUUCUGGGCUGUAGUGCACUAUGCCGAUCGGGUGUCCGCACUAAGUUCGGCAUCAAUAUGGUGACCUCCCGGGAGCGGGGGACCACUAGGUUGCCUAAGGAGGGUGAAUCGGCCCAGGUCGGAAACGGAGCAGGUCAAAACUCCCGUGCUGAUCAGUAGUGGGAUGGUGCCUGUGAAUAGCCACUGCCAGCCUGGGCAACANNNNNNNNNNN
rnacentral:SRP_RNA from 1 species